CGGUCUUUUUCCAAGACAAAUACGCUUGCUGUUUUAUCAAAAGACCCAGAUGCCAACCUCCUGCCGUCGCAACUCCAUGCUACGGAAUGAACUUUAGCGGUGGUGCUUCUGCUGCAAAAAGUAAGCAGUGACUUUACUGAAAGUCUUACGCUUUCCUCAGCCUGCCUGCCUUCCUGGUUGCCCAGGGACCUCUGGAGCCGACCUUCAACACUCUGCAUCCGUGUUCCUGUUCCCGUUGAGUGGGUUGGGCCCUGCGGAGAGGCUGGGAGAGUGUGUGGCAUGCGUGUCCAACUCCACACUCAGGCUAGGGUUAAGAUGGCUGAUUCCGUUGGGUUGUGGUGCCCAUUUCUCAGGCUUCUGCUUCUCAGGCUCCUCCCCACUGUUGGAACACACAACAAGGGCCUCAGAACCACUCCAUGUUUAAUCCUCUCCAUCAUCUCAUUUACUGCCUUCACUUUGACGUCAUCUGUACCUCCUUCUGCACCUCCCUCUACAGGACAAGGAGAGAGACAGAGGGUUACAUGGACAAUAUUGUAAAGAUGUGUGAUUUUAAAAUAAAAAUAAAAUUCCUCAA